rnacentral:rRNA from 1 species
GACGAACGCUGGCGGCAUGCCUAAUACAUGCAAGUCGAACGAGUCUCCGUUAACUGAAGUGCUUGCACGGACGCUAACAUCGAGACGAGUGGCGAACUGGUGAGUAACACGUGGGAAACCUGCCCAGAAGAAGGGGAUAACACUUGGAAACAGGUGCUAAUACCGUAUAACAACUUGGACCGCAUGGUCCGAGUUUGAAAGAUGGCUCCGGCUAUCACUUCUGGAUGGUCCCGCGGCGCAUUAGCUAGAUGGCGGUGUAAUGGACCACCAUGGCAAUGAUGCGUAGCCGACCUGAGAGGGUAAUCGGCCACAUUGGGACUGAGACACGGCCCAGACUCCUACGGGAGGCAGCAGUAGGGAAUCUUCCACAAUGGACGAAAGUCUGAUGGAGCAAUGCCGCGUGAGUGAAGAAGGGUUUCGGCUCGUAAAACUCUGUUGUUAGAGAAGAACGUGGGUGAGAGUAACUGUUCACCCAGUGACGGUAUCUAACCAGAAAGCCACGGCUAACUACGUGCCAGCCGCCGCCGUAACAC